UGAGGGUGCAUUGUUGGAAAAAGGGUGUUUCUAAGAAGCGGUGUGUAUGGGCUUGGGUGCCAAAGCCCAAAGAGAAAUGCAGCCAGACGUAGGGGGUGUAACAAGUAAUCUGGGAUGAUGCUGAUGAAAACAAACUUAGGCCCAAUGAAGUAAGCCCAUCAAAUAUGGCUGAAUUUGAGCACAUGGUGUAUCCAUCAGCUUCCAAGUCAACAGGCACGUGGGAUGAAAUUGAAUUCAAAAAACGCAUCAUACUAUAAUUCCAAACUCAGGGCAACAUUCAGCCACCACCACCGUGAGCCACCGUGCCGGGAAUCACCUCCGGCGGCGGUGGCCACCAUAAUCCAAAAUUGAACCCACCAUCUUGUUCGUCUCCUCCCCCUCUCCAUGAAUUCCUCAUUGAUUUCCCUUAGUUUUAUGUUUAGAACCCUAACUUCUUGGAUCUCCUCAAGAAGCCUAACAUCACAGACCUAAAUUAAACUUUACUCCCAAAGAAUCAGAGCCCAAGGGAUUAGGGCUCUGAUUCCCAAAUUUCUCUUCUACAUUGUAGCAACCAUAAUUGAAGAAGAAAAUUUUGAGCUUCGCCUGGUCGGAGACUUCGAAGCUGAUGACAACAAUUGUGCUCUGCUUCCAAGUACUGAUUCUAAUCUCUCUUUCUUCGCUACAAGGUGGUGUUGAUUGUUCAUGGCCUGUUGCUUGCAAAUGAUGCUGGGGUUGGCUUAUGCUUGGCAUAUGACAUCAAGAUGGCAUGAAACCAACAUGAAAAUCAAGGUGGUGACUUAAGGAAAUUAUCAUGACUUGCUUGCAAAUGAAGUUACAAGUGACAAUGGAAGCAUGAAGAAUUCACAUAGAAAUUAGGAUUGGACACUUAGUGGUUUAGUGAUGAAAAAUAACUUGAGUUGACUUUGGUCAAAAUUGACCAAAAAGUCAGCUGUCGAACAAAGUCAACAAUUGGUCAAAUAUGUAUUUUUUCUUGGUUUUCCUAUGUAAUGAACAUCUUAUGGAUGAAAAGAGAAUGGAACUUGUUAUGUGAAUGGUAUUAUUAUGAUGUAAAGGACUUUAGUUUGAAAA